UACAGAGGGUGCAAGCGUUGUUCGGAAUUAUUGGGCGUAAAGGGAGUGUAGGCGGUUUGGAAAGUCUUCCGUGAAAUCUACGGGCUCAGCCUGUAAAGUGCAGAGGAAACUAUCAGACUUGAGUGUCGGAGAGGAUAGGGGAAUACCCGGUGUAGAGGUGAAAUUCGUAGAGAUCGGGUGGAACACCAGUGGCGAAGGCGCCUGUCUGGCUGACAACUGACGCUGAGACUCGAAAGCAUGGGGAGCAAACAGG
rnacentral:rRNA from 1 species